UGGGGAAUAUUGGACAAUGGGGGCAACCCUGAUCCAGCAAUGCCGCGUGUGUGAAGAAGGCCUGCGGGUUGUAAAGCACUUUCAGUGGGGACGAAAAACCCAGAGGCUAACAUCCUCAGGGCUUGACUUAACCUACAGAAGAAGCACCGGCUAACUCUGUGCCAGCAGCCGCGGUAAUACAGAGGGUGCGAGCGUUAAUCGGAAUUACUGGGCGUAAAGGGUGCGUAGGUGGUUUGGUAAGUCAGAUGUGAAAUCCCCGGGCUUAACCUGGGAAUUGCAUUUGAUACUGUCAGACUAGAGUGUGGUAGAGGUAAGCGGAAUUCCCGGUGUAGCGGUGAAAUGCGUAGAUAUCGGGAGGAACAUCAGUGGCGAAGGCGGCUUACUGGACUAACACUGACACUGAGGCACGAAAGCGUGGGUAGCAAA
rnacentral:rRNA from 1 species